AUACUACUCCCUCUGUCCCAAAAUUCUUGUAUUAGAUUUGUCUAAAUACGGAUGUAUCAAGUCAUGUUUUAGUAUUAGAUACAUCCGUAUCUAGACAAAACUAAGACAAGAAUUUUGUGAUGGAGGGAGUAUCAA
rnacentral:pre_miRNA from 1 species